ensembl:lncRNA
UUUUUUUUUUUUUUAACUACACGUGGAAUAAAACUUCAGUCAUCUCUAUGCGUGUUAACAAAACAAAACAGAAGUUCCUGUGUGGCUCAGCAAGAACCCAACAUAAUGUCCAUGAGGAUGUGUGUUCAAUUCCUGACCUCGCUCACUGGGUUAAGGAUCUGAUAUUGCUGCAAACUGCGGGAUGGUUCUCAAAUGCGGCUUGGAUCUGGCAUUGCUGUGGCUGUGGUAUAGGCCGUUUAGCUGCAGCUUCCAUGCAACCCCUAGCCCAGGAAUUUCCAUAUGCUGCAGGUGUGGCUGUAAAAAGAAAAACAAAACACCUGAGCCAUCUGGGUAUGCUGAUUGAAGAAGAGUCAAAUUAAUUAUGUGACAAAAAGUGACAAAAGUACGGAAUGAAAGUCCCUUUCCUCAUUGCCCAUUCCCUGGCCCACUGUCCAGAGGUGACAGCUGGGGUCCUAGUCCAGGGAUCCUAAGAUGUACUACUCCAUCCCUCUUCUUCCUCCCAGCAAGGCCAGACCUACAUCAGUGCUGCCCCAAGGACCAAGCAAGAGACAAAGAUGAACUGACCACUUCCCCAAAUAUAAGGACUCACACAUUUUACAUUUUGAGGAUUACUCUGCCCAUUGGCAGGUGAACUCUGUGAACUGAUAAACCAAGUGAGAAGUGAAUGGCUGUAUGUCUCAUCUGAAUUGAUGUGUCAGUGUUGCUCUAAAGCUCCAUGGUUCAUGCCACCUGCGAGCAGGACCCUACAGGGAACCUUGGGCAAACCUUUCUUCCUGCCUUAACUUCCCUAGUCUCUCUGGCCCCAUAUGGAUCCCUGGCUGUGGAGACCUAGGGUCUCUGGUCAGUCUGUGGGUCUGAUGUCUCUUACAGUUUAUUGUUGUUGUUGUGCCUUUAUUUUGCUUUUACUUUUGAUUUUUCUGAGAGUGGACACUAAUUUGACUCUCAGCUUCCUUUCAAUUUUUCCCUUAGGGAAUCAAACCAGGCUAUUUUUGUUCAUGAGAUGGUGAAAUACAUUGGAAACAAAGAGAAAAAAAGCUUAAGAGAGAACACGCCCACUGUUUCCCCUGGGAUCCUCGCUGGCUAUUCCUGGGUUUUCCAUGGGAAGCACUUAGAUACUCGGAACAAAGUAUAAGUGGUUUUGUGUGCUGCAUUUUUGUUUUAGAACCAGGAGAGAAGAACCUCAGGGAUUAGCUGAUCCAAACCCACCUUUUCUAUAGAUGGAGAAACCUUCCGCUCAUAGAGGUGGAAGGCGUGAAAUAGGGGAGGGCUGCCUGUGUGGGCCGGAGAUACCUUUAGGGGAGGGUGGACUGGCCUGGAGCCUGGUGGGGGGUGAGGAAGGACAGACAGCAGGUGUGGAUGUUUGGUGGCAGGUGGAAGGAAUGAGAGGAGGGGGUGGUUUGGGAGAGAGGCAGAGCCAAGGCCAGUGGCUUUUGUCCAGGUGGGGAGUUGAGCACAUUUGAAGGAUGGCCUGAAGGAAUCUGUGGGGCGGGGGGAAAGAAUGAGAUAGGAGAGGGCUGCCCCAGUGUGUGAGACCUUGGAGGUGGUGAUCCAGGGCCAGGUGGGGGAGGAGGGGAGGACUGUGGUGGCAGGUGCUGGGUUCGACAGGUAGGGGAUCCAGCCUAUACUUUGGGCCCAGCCACAAAGGCUGACAUGUGACACCUCUGUUCACGGUCACGGCCUCUGACUGUAGCAUUGGCCACUGACAGGACAAGCCAGAUGGCUGAUUUCUGGACCCCAGGGUUUUCAGUGUCUGCCCCCCACUCCCUACAACCUACCAACUCACCUUCCUUACUCUUAGAACCAAGGUGUUGGCUACUCUUUAAUGAUGGUUGAUGUGAAAAAGUAGAGAAUGCCAUGACCAAAAUAAAAACUACCCCUUGGCCAUCUGGAGGCAUCCUCUCAGCAUCCCUGCAUUUAUUCUGACUCCUCUGGCCAAGUUCCUUACAUGAUCUCAAGUGCCGCCCCAGCCAUAUUUAUUUCGGACCCUUCCAAUCUCUAACAAUUAGUUUUGUGGCUGUUAAGCUGGACUGAGGCCGGAAUACUUUAAUGUGCUUAUUUAUAUCUCAUUGGUUACAUAAGUUCCUUCCUAAGUAAGCUCUAUGAUUCCCCCAAAGUGUCCGUGUGAAAGCUUAAAAGGACUCAUCAAUUUCUCAGCCAGUCUUCCUGGAAGGUCAGCCUUGAAGUAAAUUGCAUCUUUGUCACCACUGAUCUCACAUCCCUUUCACCGCUUUUGCCUCAUUUUUUGAGCACGAGAACCUCAGAAUCACAGAGUUACAGUAGUUGGAUCAAUUUGAGAGAGGAGGUGGGGGCAGCGGAGGGAGGGCCUUCCCAGCUGAGAGGGAGUCUGGACGAAUAUGGGGCAAGUCACCAAGCUGGCCCCCUUCAGAGAGCCUGAGCCUGAGCCUAAGGGGCCGAGACCCGGUGGAGACUGAGGCAUGCCAGGCGUGGGAGGAUUUCAUGCAGGGAGAUGGCACAUCAGGCUUCACCUGGGGAAGAUCAUUUUGGCUGCGUGGUGGAGGGUCCCAUUGAGUGUGACCAGCUCCCACACCUGGUCAGAGCCAGCUCAGGCCAGCUUUGGGAUUUCAGAGCCCAGUGCAAAGGGAAAAUGAGAAGCAUCUUCUUCAAAAUUUAUGCACAAAGAGCUAUCAUUCAGCCAUAUAAAGGAAUGAAGUACUGAUCCCUGCCACAACACAGAUGGACCUCAGAAACAUGAUGCUGAGUGAAAGGAGCCAGACACAAAAGGUCACGUAUUGUAUGAUUCUGUUAUAUGGAAUAUCCAGAAGAGGUAAAUUCACAGAGACAGAGUGAAAGUAGAGUAGGGGUGGGCAGGGCCUGGGGACAGGGAGGCAGAAGGUCUGCUUAAUGCAUAUGACGUUUCCUCUUGGGAUGAUGAACUGGUUUUGAGACUAGAUAGAAGUGGCAGUCACACAAGAUCAUGAAUACUCUAAAUGUUACUGAAUGGUAUGUUUUAAAAUAGUUGGUUUUUUUUUUUUUCCAUUUUUGUUUUUUUUUAGGCCCUCAUGUAUGGCAUAUAGAAGUUCCCAGGCUAGGGGUCAAAUUGGAGCUGCAGCUGCUGGCCUGCACCACAGCUCACAGCAACACUGGCUCCUUAACCCACUGAGUGAGGUCAGGCAUUGAACCCACAUCCUCAUGGAUACUAGUUGUUCAUUCCCACUGAACCACAAUGGGAACUCCAAGUUUUUCUUUUUUCUUUCUUUCUUUCUUUUUUUUUUUUUUUUUGGCCAAGCCUGUGGCAUGUGAAGUUUCCCAGGCCAGGAACCUUCACAGGAUCGAACACAUGCCAUAGCAGCAACCUGAGCCAUAGCAGAGACUACACGGGAUCCUUAACCCACUGUGCCCCAGGAGAACUCCUUAAACAAUUAAUUUUAUGUUAUGUGAAUUUCACCGAAAUAGAACAAAACCACGUUCUUGAGUGCUAGGGAUUGGGAUUUGGAAUUCAUUUGGGGUCGUGGAGGUGGCAGGAAUCAUUAUUCUUCCUACCACAUCUUUCUGGAACAAUGUCGAAUUCUUGACCCAAGAGAUGCAGAGCUAAAUUUUCUAAACUAAAAGCUUAGUUUCUUGACAGAGUUCAGAGGUUCUUUAACAAUUUUUAGAUAAACUAUCCUUUUGCUCUGAUGUGUGUGUGUGUGUGUGUGUGUGUGUGUGCGUGCGUGCUUAUGAAGAUCCGUUCGUGUAUAGUGGUAGCUACUAUAAAUAUAUGGCAGCUCGGACAUUUGGGGUGGACAUUAUGAAUUCCACGCCAGAAUUAUGUGUCAUUAGCUGCUCUCCUUACAAUUCAUCUAGUCUGAAAGACAGAGGCUGGUAAGAGUUAGGGAAGGCUACAGGACCACAAGGGGAGGCUUUGAGUUAAAUUAUUUAGUCCAACCCUCUUAUUUGAUCCAUCACAAAAUUUAAGAAUUGCAGGAACUAUUCUCCAAGCACCAUGAUCAUCUCCCAGCUUGAAUGAAAUGUUCUGAGUGAAGGGUGCUCACUACCUGUCAUAGCAGAUUACCCCAAGGUUGAAUAUUUCAAUGCCUAGAAUGUUCUGAUUUUCCUGCAGUUGAAACGUGCCCCUCUUUGGUUUAUACCCACAGGUCCUGGUUCUAGCCUCUGGGGCACACUGGCUACCCGUCUGCAGGCAAAGAUCCAGUCCCUUCUUAAAGCUGAAUGUCCCCUAUUAUCUUGUAAGUGCCUUCACAGUCCACCCAUCCUCCCUAGGCACGAGGAAAUUAUUCACAUCCAUGUUCAAACCUGGUGGCCGGAUCUCCUCCCUCCUCCAUCCAGUGUCCCCUUCUCUUCCCCUCUCCCUGGAUUCCUUCUCAGGAGUGCUGCUCCCUCUUUCUUUAAAAAAAUCUUAAAAAAAUUAAUUGAAGUAUAAUUGACUUACAGUGUUGUGUUCAUUUCUGCUGCACAGGGAUUGAUUCAGUUAUACAUAGACAUACCUUCUUUUUUACCUUCUUUUUUAAAACAUCCUUUUCCAUUCUGAUUUAUCAUAGGAUAUUCCCCUGCCUUCCUGAGGCUAUCUCACAUAGAAGCCCUCUUCUGACUCUCUCCUCCUAAAGUAGGGCUAAUUGAUCGCCUAUGAAAUAAAGCCUCGCCCUAGAGGCACACUGAGCUUGCCAACCCUCAAGACCCUCCCUCACUGCAAGGCAGUGGGUCUGGUAUGGGCUGAAUUGGAUUUCUCCCACCCAAAGUUUAUAUGUUGAAGUCCUAGACCCCAGGACCUCAGAGUGUGACUGGGUUUGGAGAUGGCAUCUUCAAAGAGGUGAUUAAGGUAAAGUGAGGUCAUAUGGGUGCACCCUAAUUCAGUAGGACUGUGUCGUAAGAAGAGAUCAGGGAGUUCCUGUUGUGGCUCAGCAGGUUAAGAACAUGACUUAGCGUCUGUGAGGACGCAGGUUCGACCCCUGGCCUUGCUCAGUGGGUUAAGGAUCUGGAGUUGCCGUAAGUUGUGUUGUAGGUCGCUUGGAUCUGGUGUUGCUGUGGGUGUGGUGUAGGCCUCAGCAGCUGCUUUGAUUCAACCCCUAGCCUGGGAACUUCCAUAUGCCGCGAAUGCAGCCCUAAAAAAAGGAAGAAAAUGAAA